rnacentral:rRNA from 1 species
GUGGGGAAUCUUGCGCAAUGGACGAAAGUCUGAUGGUGCAACGCCGCGUGGAGGAUGAAGGUCUUCGGAUUGUAAAUUCCUGUCAUCGGGGAGUAAGACCUGGCGGUAAAUAGCCGACAGGGUUGAUAGUACCCGAAGAGGAAGGGACGGCUAACUUCGUGCCAGCAGCCGCGGUAAUACGAAGGUCCCAAGCGUUGUUCGGAAUCACUGGGCGUAAAGGGAGCGUAGGCGGCGUGGUAAGUCAGAUGUGAAAUCCCGGGGCUCAACCCCGGAACUGCAUCCGAUACUGCCAUGCUUGAGGGUUGGAGAGGUAGCUGGAAUUCUCGGUGUAGCAGUGAAAUGCGUGGAUAUCGAGAGGAACACUCGUGGCGAAGGCGAGCUACUGGACAACAUCUGACGCUGAGGCUCGAAGGCCAGGGGAGCAAAAGGGAUUAGAAACCCGGGUAGUCC